GAGAUCGUCUGUCGGGUUCGGUUGGCAACCUAACGACACAAGGGUGGCUCUUACUUUUUCGUUUGCUUCGGAGCUUCCUGCCAUAUUGCCACUCAAAAAGGCAUCGUCGUCGUCGUCGUCUUCUUCUUCUUCUUUCUCCCGGAACCAUGGGCGUCGCCCUUUGGAUUCGCUCGAUUCCUUAAUGCGAUCUCUCCCCAUCUCUUCCUCCUCUCCUUUCUCCUUCGCCUCUCUUUCGUACGUUUCAGGGUCGAAGGAUCGAGAGAAUCGACGGAUAGGAUAGGAUUGGACUGGAGAAAGACGGGACAACGUUUUGGAAGACGCCGAUCUACAUUCGAGACCCAUCUCUCUCUUUCUCUUCCUUCCUUCUUUCCUUCCUUCGAGAAUAUUAGUCGAUAAAUUUUCGACGAGGAGCAGCGUCCACCAUAAUUUAAAAAAAAAAGAAACGAUCGAACAGCUUCAUCCAACCCUACGAGAGGAACGAGAUCGACGGCAAACAUCGGGCGUCCCUCGUUCUUCUCAUCUAUACUCCUCGAUGGCCGAACUUGGUUCGUGUUUCCCGACGACCCGCAUUUUUCUCGAGGAGGAGGAGGAGGAGGAGAAGGAGUAGUUUAUCGAGGAGGAGAGGUUUCGUCGAUAAAUCGACAAAUUUGUCGGACGAAUUUCGUCGCCGAUCGUUCCAACGACUCGUAACUCGCGAACGAAAUUAAAAUCAAACGAGGCGAGGGAAGGCUCGAUUCUUUCUGUUUUUUUAAUCCAUCGGAAUCUUCUUUUUCUUUUUAUUUUUUUCGUAUUGGAGCGAUCGGUUGGAGGGAUUUAUCUUUCAGCGGAGGGAUUAUCGUGGAAGGGAAAGCCACUUCGGGGGUCCGGGCAAAUUCUGUAAGAAGUUAAUCCACCAUCUUCGUUUAAUAAUAAGCGCACUUCCGGGGCACUGAAUUCGCAAAGCAUUCGAAGCAGAGCUCGAGAGUUUCUCCAGAAACGGCGGAGGAGCGGAGGAAGAAAGGAGGAGACAAAGAGAGGUGGAAAAAGAGAUGGGAAGGAGAGGGGAGGAGAGAGGAGGCUCGUAUAAAUUGUAGCUACCUCCCCCUCCCCCUCCGACGCCGUUAUCGAAUCUGCAAUUAAAAAGUUCCGCAACUAAUUUCAAUUUAAUCGUACGCCGUUCGCGCCGGCCAUUCUACACCCUCUUCCUCCGCUUCCGCCCCUCCGCCCGUCUCGCCUCUCCCCCUCUCUCGUCUCUGUUCGCUCGAAAAAGGCGUAGUCAGCCCAGUUUAGAAAUUUGUCCCGUUUAGUUUCCGAAACUGUUUCCCCCACCGCUCGCUUUUGUUUUGUUUCUCGCUCGCUCGUUCGCUCGACUUUCGCCCGUUUAUUUUUGUUUUGCCUCAGUCCUAUACUUGUUCUCCCGUUGAACGGAUCGUGCUCGCGCGUCGAUGCGUAUAAUUACGUCGGUGAAAUACGUCGCAAUUAAUCGGAUUUAUCGCAUCCGCCGCAUCAUCGCGCCAUUAUUUUUACUUUAAAAAAAAGUGGAAACGAAAGACGGCGAUUCUUCCCCUCCCCCGACGAAAAGAAGGAUAUCAACCGAACGACUUGUUGCAAUUGCGUCGUUCGCCACGCCCUUCCUAUCUUCUUAUCGAGACCAAGUUUCGAAAUGGUCGAUCGAAUAAUCAUCGAUUUCGAAUAUUCAACGUGAGAAUGAAUUUCGUCGUUAAGUGUAUGCAACGAUUAAUUGAAGAAAAAUCACGCGCUUCACGCGCGACAAGCCAUUGUGUUGAUCGAAAUAAAUAAUUGAUGAACGAGUCCGAUUCGUUUUGGACGUAACAGGAAAAAAGGGUAUCGACAAAGUGGGCCCGAAGGUUAGAAAGAGACGGGAUCGGAGUACAUCUUGGACAUCCGUAUGCGGUGGAUUUGCGUGUAUUCCGUCCCCCCGAAGGGAAAGUGGUGGCCACGCGGGCAUCGACGCUUCGUGAACGCAUUUCACAGCUUAAGAGAAGAUUAGCCAACCCUCUCGUAACGAUAGGAUUUGACCAUUGAGGGGAGAUUACCGACGCUGGCCGAGCCAUUCGGCGCGGAUCCAGCUUUAAGCGUGUUACACAAUUACGUUCUGGGAGUGUCUGGAACCGCACGGUCGAGUGAGUCGAGACGCCAUCUCUGGUUUCGUCUCUUCCUCCUCGUAGAAAGAGAAAGAGAGAGAGAGAGAAUGUAUGUUUUCACGUGGAAUAACGCGUUGUCGGGACUAAAGGGGAGGGGGUAAGUUGAAGUUUUGAUAAUCAGAUUUAUGAUGAGUGGAAUUACGCUGAGUCUUUCCAUAAUUACUUUGCGUGAUUUGGAUUAAUAUAACACGAUUCGUUUCGUGUAUUAUGUAUUUUCGAUUGUUCAUCACCGAUGAAGUAUUAAAUAUUACAUUGUUUCCUCGAGUGAAAUUAUGUAUACGUGUUUCCAAAAAAAAAAGAAAAAAGAAAAAUGAUAGAGAAAUUCGAGGCGAGCGAUACGUAAAUAUAUUUUGAAUAAGGAUUAACGAAGUGGUUUGUUAAAAUUAAAAACGUAUUCACUAGGUUUUCCGCGAUUGUUUAACAGGGUAAAGAGCGACGAAGCUGUUGUGUGACGCGUCGCGAUUUUAAUCGGGUACACUGCUAAUUGCACAACAACAAUACGGCGAAUCAGCGACGGGCAGAGUAAAUAACGCCGAUAACGCGAUAGCAUUUUAAACCGAUUUAUCGACAGAUUUAUUACCCCUUAUCGAUCGGCACAAUGAAAGCCCUAAAGCCCUUCCGCGUCCCCAUAAUCCGACCGUAAAACAAUUCCAUCAGCCUCUUCCACCAUUCAAUUUGUCCCCCAUUGUCCCUUCGCUUCCACGCUCUCGAAAAUCAUCCCAAGAUUUCUCCGCACGCAUCACGGAGAAGUAGAAAAGGGGAAAAAAAAUUGGAGUAGCCAUCGUUGUCUCGCGAGGCGCGAAACCCUCUCUUUCAGAAGCGGGACGAGAAAAAGAGAGAAAGGGAAAGAAGAGAAAAGGAGCACGCGGGGCGAAGAAUAGAGCGGUCGGUUCAAAGCGUUUCGCCGGAUUUCAAUGGCGACCCUUCGAAAGAUUCCCGGUUAUAUUCCCGUACGUUCGAACGUGGCUUUGGUUGGUGGUCACUUCCGCUCCUGAAAAGCUACCUCUUUCGAAAAGGAAAGAAAAGGAAAAAAAAGAGAGACCAGCCAGAUGGAGAGGAGGAAGAAGGUUGAGGGAAGGGGUUGAAAUUGGCGUGCGAACCGCUGUAUGGAGAUUGACAAAUUGAACGCGCGGAUAGAUUCGCGCGGAAUCUCGGUUAUCGCGCUAUAAAAAAAAAAAAAAAAACGCGUGUCGAGAAUAAAACUGUCCCGGAUUUAAAACCUCGAAUCGUUUCGUUAUGGUUUAUUCAUUCGGUUUACGACAACGUUGUACGAGUUCUCGUCCACUUUUGACACACUCGUGCGCCAAACGGAGGAGCGAGAGAAGUGAUCUCGAGCUUUCUUAAGGAGGAAAUUUGUCGUUUACGACGUGGAGGAGGAUGAGGAGAUAGAUUUUAUCGAAGUAAAAUUCCUCGCUCGUAAAAAAUAGUUCUACUAUUUUUACGAAUAAAUUUCGUCUCGUAGAGAGAGAGAGAAGGAGAGGGAUCGGAAGAAUUUUACCUUCGGACGAUCUUGUAGACGGCAGCGUAAUUAAGUUGUCGAAGCGAAAUUCUUUGUGUUAUCUUUAGUAAUAAAUCAUAGAAAACUCCGAGAAGAAACUUCUCCUUUCCUUCCCGGAGAAACAGUGGAGGACAACCCCUCUCCUCGCGUUGAUCCCGAGGAAGAACGGGAGACGGGUGGAGUUAGGCCACAUCUCGGUUACUUCUUAUUAGCCCGGAACAAGUCCCGAGACAAUCCGUGACUCGAGGAUUCCCGAGGAGAAGUCUCUUUGAAACUACUCGUCCAAACUAUCGAAAAACUCGUCAUCCUUGGAGGGAAAGGAUCCUUUGGUCAAUUAGCGAGGUGAUUCGUCGUCGUCAAUUAGGAUCGAAUCCACGGCAAGAAAUUCCGGUGGAUUUCCAUUCCAUAUCCAUAUCCAUCUCGGCGACGAAUAAAAAUUCGAAUAUUCAUCGCGAGAACUCUCUCUCUCUCUCUCUCUCUACAUCCCUUCUUCGAAGGAUCGAAGAAAGAAUUCGUAAUUGAUGAUUUCCAAUUAGAACGAAUCGAAGAGAAGUUAGGAUAGAAUUUUUAGAGGCAAAUUGGCUUGUUCUUCGAGUGAAUUUUCCGAAAGAAGAGGAGGAAAAAGCGGAGGAGACUGCGACUUAGGAGAUUUAAACGGAGGAAAAAGGGGUCGAUCGCGUAAGAGGGAAGGUGACGGGUCGGAUAUGGCCCGUUGGGUCAAUUGGAUUGCCGCAACUUUGUUUCCCGGCAUAGAGACGAGUUAAGGGGGACAGGGUGGAUGGGGCAGGCCUUCCCGUAACCGUACUGCUGCCUCCGGCUCGCGAAAACGUCGAAUUAACGACAUUAUACCUCCUAACCCCCGGUAAUGGGUGUAAGAAGGUUAGCUCGGCUUUUUGUCUCUCGUGCAUCCCUCCUCUCGGGUAUCGAGAAAUCCGGCUCUUCUCUUCUCUUCUCCUCGCUCGUCUCUUCUUUCCUCCUCCUCCUCCUUUUCCUUCCUUUCUCCCGAGGAAUUCUCUUCCCUCUUCCCUCUUUCUCUUCCGUUUCUUUUUCUUGUCCGGCAGAAGAGGAGGAGGAACACGAGGUCGUUCCUCCCCUCCUUUUUUUUUCAUCCCUCUCGAACCGUUAAAGGCGAAGUUUCAGAGGUUUCAGAAGGAGGCAUCCGAACUCCACGCACUCUCCGACUUCGACACCUUCCAUCUCCCCUCCCCUCUCCCCUUGCCUGCAAAGGGAAGGACGGCAGGAUCCCUAUCGGUAGCCUCGAGUAAUUAACUUUGGAGGGUACAAAAGUUAAGAGAUAGGAGAAGCUGGUGGCCCCCGCGGCUAGUUUCGCCUCUCUCCCGUCUUGCCUUUCUUUUUUUUAUCCUUACCAUCGGGGAAGUAAUUAUUUCUUGUAUCUUUUUUUCCUUCCCGCUUCUCUCUCUCUUUCUCUCCUCUCUCUUUUUCCUCCUUCUUUCUCGUGGCUCCCUUCAUCUUUCGGGAUCGCGGAAAGGCGAGAUAGAGGGUACGAUUGGUGAAUUGUUGCCAGAUUCUUCCUUCUUUUUCUUCUUUUUUUCUCUCAAACUAUUCUUUCUUCUGUUACUCUUACGUCUGGAUUUAACUCGUUUUGCCCGAAAGCCGGUUACAGGGUAUGCUUAAGUCGAGCAGUGACUUGGUCGGAUCUGUUAUUUCAGAAUAUUCCACUGGAACUCCACUUAAUAACUCGUUCGGUUUUUCUCCUAGUUUUCCUCUCCCCUCCCCUUUUUGCUUUUACACGUUGCUUCGAAUUUGGAUAUUAUUUUAAUAAGAUUGAAAAUUUCGAAUUCCGACAACGAAGGUAACGAAGAAUCUUCGAGUUUUUGUGAGAAACGAGGAAUUCGGAGGUUCGCGAAACCGAGCUCAUAAUAUAAUCGCGGCUGAUGGAAUCCAUGGAUCGAUUCGCAGAAACCGCGAAGAUUCGCGGCACAAAGGGAUCAAAUCUCGUCUCUGGAACAAUAAUUUCAGUUGCGCGAAUACACACGAAUACGCGAAUAUCGUUAUUAAAAUACGCCGCACUCUCCGCAUGCCCGCCGCGAAAAUACGCCGCAACGAUGCUGAAAUAUUCGAUCGGCCGUCUUCCGCGAGCAAUAUCUGCAUAGGCGUUGCAGAUCGCGGUUAAACCAGUGGAAGAAAGAAUUUCCCCUGUUGUUUAACCAUUUUCGAAAAAUUGGAAAUUCUCUCAAGCUAAUCGAGAUGAGGCGAACGAUUCGAUCGAUAUAAUACUCUUCUCUUCUCUGUUGCUACUGGAUCAUUCGGAUUUAUAUUUUAUAUAUUACUUGGAUUCAGAAUAAUUGAUCACUGAUCAUACUCGUAUUCUCGAUUCGUGGAUCAACGAGCUCAGCGUCUGCAUCUAAGAGAUGUGUUUUUCGGAAAUGAAGCUGUCCAACGUUUCCGUUUAAAUUUUUUAUAUUAUCUCAAAAUCUUGCCGUUCUCUCGGACAAGCGAUCUCCGUUAGCAAUUAGGAAUCCGCGAAGAAUCGGAUGAAAAGAUGUACAGAGACGGGAGUAGGCAGAGUCGUUCGAGUAACCGACAAAGAGGCGUCCGUUGCAAUUACCAGGGGAGGAGGAAAGGGGGAUGGUCGAAGGCAACAACCAAGAUAUUUAAAUCUUCCGCAAGGCGGGCCGUCUGUAGGGCGAAGGAUAAGCAGAGAUAACCUUAAGACGGGGACACGAGAAAGUGAGAAGGCAGAAGCCUCGAAAGCUCGAGCUCAACUCUCUCGGUCAAACUUUUAAAAGGAUUUCGUCGACUCGAUACCGAGAUCUCACUCUCUGUCUCUCUCUCCCCCUCUCUUUCUCUUCAGAUCUACCCUCUGCUCCCUACCCUCUGUUUGAUUUACGAAACUUCUCGACGACGUUUUCGCAAUUUUAUGCAGACAAACCGGUGGAGGGUCGAACGCGUCAGCGUUUCUCAAAACGCUGGAUCCUGGACGACUAUCCAGGGAGUCGAGGGAGGACGGCCUCUCAAGGUUAGGGUGGAUGAUUCGUUGUUUCGACCCUUUCGAAUAACAGGAUAUAACGAUAGGUAUUCGAUCGAUGCUCGUCGAAGAUAAAUUUUAAGAAUAUUUAUUACUUUCUACUCCUUUCUUUUUUCGUAUUCACUUUUAUAUAUAUAUAAAGAUCCGUGGAAGUGUUUAGUGGAUCGAAACUGAUCCAAAUCCGAAGGCCAAAUGCGUCUUGGGGCAAGUUGAGAUUGAUUCAGCGCAAAUGUAUGCACCAUUCGAAGGAGCUGACCGCCGAAUUUCCAUCCCUUUCCCAAAGCUUUCGUGACCGAUCAUCCAUUAACGCCCGGACCGGGUAGACUAUCCAACGUCGAAACUUAACCUCCACGACGACCGUCCUUCGAAGCUUCUUCCACCCCCUUUCCUAAAUACAGCCAGCCGAGAUUAUCGAUCUUGCGAGCCGCCGCUGCAAUUUAAUCCUUGGAAGAUCGAUCCUGGAUAUUAUAUCGUUGGAUCGCUUAUGCGUCUAAUAGCGCUUGAAGCGUUCUCUCAAAUUUUGAUAGAUGACGAGGCGGAUUGGAGAUUUCUUAUCCAAACUUUUUGAUAUCCAACCGCCGAGAAAUAAUAAGCCGAUUUUAAUUAUUAUAAGGGAUCCCUGAAUGAUUCAUUCGGAUCUCUCCACAAAGGCGGGGUUAAUUAAUUUGCAAGAUCUUAAUAAACGCAGAUCGUCCACUCAUCGACAAGGAUAAUUACCUCGGCAAUCCAGAAUCUUGGAAAGUUUCGAGAUUCCUCGUUCGAGCUCUCCUCGGAUAAAAAGUGACGCAAAGUUGCUCGUCAACGGAUACUUUGCGUGUCCUUUGGAGUUUUCUCUGUUGGGACGAGCAACGGCGUAUGCGGCACCGUCCAUUAUCGACCUCUUCUAAUCGGAUAAGUUCGAUCGGUUUGUUGAAUACAGUUGCCGUAUUGUAAUAAGCUUACAGCCGGGAACAGUUUCUCAACUUGCGGACCGAUCCCCGUCCCGGCUAUUCGAUUACACGACAACCGUGUACACGUUUCGAGCUACUCAGCGGUCAAAGGGAAGGCGAAGCUUGGAUUUUUCUGACAUAGACGACGGAUCCUCCUCCCUCGAGGUUUCCGUUAUUCCGGUUAAAUACCGAUCCGAAGCUUUCUCCAAAAGCGUUCUCCCUCCUCCUUUUUAUCUUUGCCUCUUUCGCCUCGUUCGUUCGAGGUAAUUGCAGAUAGCCGCGAAAAGUUGAUAAAAAGGAAAAAGUUGGGGAAAGAAGAGGGGCAAUAUUUGGAAAGAAAGGCACGUGUUCCUUUUUCAUUCCCGAAAAGAGAAUUUCUCAAAAACUGCCUCCAAAAAUUAGCCGGAUCGGAUGUCCAAGAAUUUCGAGGAGAGCCCAAUUAAAUUUCCGUCAAUUACUCGUAGCGCAAACUACUUGGCGACCCGCGUUACACAGUCGUACUUUUCCUCACAAAGAGGGAACGGGACUUGAGAAACGCUGGCAGCGGGUUUCUCAAAGGGUGUGUUCCGAGGAAUCGGGACAACGUAACCGCUGGUCUCUCUAAGGAGCAAAAUAUCAAAGGUUCGGCGAUGGUUGCACGAUUUCUCUGUCUCUGUCCCUGUCUCUGUCUCGGGUUUCUCGAGCUGGAGAAUUCUGCCGCUUCUUACGUAACGUGGAACGACGUAUCGAAGGAAGAAAGUGAAGGAGAGCGAGUCGUAAGAGGUCGAGCUCAUUGGCGGCGUUUAAUUAGCGAAGGCGCGAAUUCAGUGUGGCCAGGGCCGUUGGAUCGACAAAUUCCAACUAAUUUUCACAGUCGGGUUCCUUUAAUUAGAAAGCCGGCCCUGAGAUUUGCCACGUGAGAUUGGCUUUCCUCCCCCCGCUGUGUUAUGGAAUCACCGGCGAUCGCUGGCCGAGAGAAUAUAGAUCUGCUUACAUCACUCGCGCUCGUUUAAAGGGAAACCUUUAAAUCGGAAGACUCAUGAUUAUUCUCAGAGCGACGUUUCAUCGUGAUAUUUGUACGUGGAAUUGAACCGUUGAUUGAGAGAUUGGUGUAAAGAUCGGUUGUAAGAGUAAAUUUUCAAAUUUUCCGAUUGUUUAAAGCUACGUUUUCUUGGUAGAACGUUUUCUUUUGAACGAACUUACUUUUUCUUUAAUUUGUCAUACUAUCUGGUUUUGUUAGAGGCAAUAAUGUAUUCGAUGAGAAGGAGAAUCUCGAAAGAAUCAAUCAAGAGGAUUGUUAUGGAACGAAGAAUAGAAGAAUAAAACGAGAAUUUACUAGUCCAAUAGUUGAUAAAUUUGUUGGAUCGUCUCGAAUAUCAUUCUUAUCGUUCCAAAACUCGUUCAUUCGCAAAAUACCUCCCUUCGCUACUUCUCCUUCCCCUUUAUUGGAAUGAUUCAAUCUCCCCUCUUUACCUCAGUCAUCCUAUAUUUCCUGACAAUUAAACAGUCGGAAAAUCGGCUUAUGCAAGGUCGCUUGAAAAUAACCUGCUCGCGGUCUUGCCUUUUCUUAUUUCAUCACUUCUAUAUUUAAGCUUUUUCCUGUUUGCUCAUUGCUCAUUCCUCGAACCUCGAACCAGACAUUUUCUUGAAACGAAAUAAAUCAUGAACGGAUGAGCGAAUAAAUAUUUAUCGAAUCUCGAAUAUCAUUUUUUUCUUUUCUUUUUUUUUCCCCCUCCCCAAUUAAACGGUUUUUUCUCUAUUAUUUCCCUCGUUGCAAAUUCGUUGGGGAGGGAAAUUCGUAUUGGAAGAAAUGUUAUUGCGAAAAUUAAUUCCCUCCCCCUAUUAAAAUCAUUCGGUUUUAACGUUUUCGUUGAUAUUUUAAUUGGCGAGAUUACAUUACGUUCCGUUACGUUAUCAUACAAUAACGACAAUUUCAAUUGGAAAAAGCCACCGAAUUAAUUUCCACUCUUCCCCUCCCCUAAUAUCUCGCACGUAACCCCCGAAUCCAAUCCAGCAGAGAACAGAGCUCUCGAAACGUUGAUCCUAUUUCAAGGCGGCGCUCAUCUCGCCGAUUCAAUCUCCACCGAUUUCCACACACUCUCGCUCUCUCCUUGCGGCGUGAGGCUCGUCGUGUGCCACCCUGGAUCGCGAGAAGGAAUCAGGAACCGUGUAUCGCACACUUGCCGGUCAAGCUUUCGUCCCAACGCGCGAUCGAAAAUCGGGAACGGGAAAGAAGGAUCCGUUCGAUAUUCGAUUGGCUCGCCCAAUUUAUUCCCCCAACAAUUCUCCAAUGAGAAAAUGGAAUAUGAAAAAGAGAAAUUCUCGAUCGUUCCCCUCGAUUACAGAGAUUUUUUUUUUUGGUCGUCGAUUCUAUCGGGGAAUAAAAGGGGGUUAAUAUCGAGGCAAAAAUCCUUUUCUUUCGUGUAUCUCGUCGCUUCCACCCCCUCCUUCCUUUUUUUUACACCGGCAAUAAUUCACUUCCCACAGCCACUUGACGACGUGUAUCUUUCGGUUCUUUCCCCUUUUUUUCCACUCUCUCUCCCUCGAUCGUCGAGAAUUUAACGCGUAUCCCACAUUGUAAAGUCUAAUGAAUCUCGACUUACUCUUGGAACGGUCGAUGAAUAUUUUUUCAAAUGUCUUUCGAUUCUUUUUUUUUUUUUCGAAUUAGGAAAUUUGCGUGAUGUUUCGAAGAAAUGGGAAUACGAGCACUUUAAUUAACCCGAAUAUGGCAUAUGGGAACGGGAGGGAAGACAUUGGUCGGAGGAAUCGAUCGUACCGUGUGCCGUUAAUCAUGGCCAAUGUUCGUUGAGCAGGGGCACUGUCAAACGUGAGCCAGAAGCCGAGAAAAUUGUCGGCGUGGUAACUGUCCGUGCAAUUGAAAGGAGCUCGCGUUUCGUCGAGUCAAUAUCUUGGAUCUUAACUUGAUUAAACUUCCGGUCUGCUUUACGAAUCCAUCGAAAAUGAUGGAAAUGAAGGGAUAGGUUGUACAAGCGAUUCCUAGCUUCUCCAUGAUCCUUCGAUAGUUCACGCGCGCGAAUCUAUC